rnacentral:rRNA from 1 species
AGAGUUUGAUCCUGGCUCAGGAUGAACGCUAGCGGCAGGCCUAACACAUGCAAGUCGAACGGUAACAUGACAGUGCUUGCACAGUUGAUGACGAGUGGCGCACGGGUGCGUAACGCGUAUACAAUCUACCUUUUACAGGGGGAUAGCCUUUAGAAAUGAAGAAUAAUACCCCAUAGUAAGUGCAUUUCGCAUGGAAAGUACUUUAAAGUUUCGGCGGUAAAAGAUGAGUAUGCGUCCUAUUAGCUAGAUGGUGUGGUAACGGCACACCAUGGCAACGAUGGGUAGGGGCCCUGAGAGGGGGAUCCCCCACACUGGUACUGAGACACGGACCAGACUCCUACGGGAGGCAGCAGUGAGGAAUAUUGGACAAUGGGCGAGAGCCUGAUCCAGCCAUGCCGCGUGUAGGAAGACUGCCCUAUGGGUUGUAAACUGCUUUUAUACAGGAAGAAACCACAGAACGUGUUCUGUGCUGACGGUACUGUAAGAAUAAGGAUCGGCUAACUCCGUGCCAGCAGCCGCGGUAAUACGGAGGAUCCAAGCGUUAUCCGGAAUCAUUGGGUUUAAAGGGUCCGUAGGUGGAUAAUUAAGUCAGAGGUGAAAUCCUGCAGCUCAACUGUAGAAUUGCCUUUGAUACUGGUUAUCUUGAAUUAUUGUGAAGUGGUUAGAAUAUGUAGUGUAGCGGUGAAAUGCAUAGAUAUUACAUAGAAUACCAAUUGCGAAGGCAGAUCACUAACAAUAUAUUGACACUGAUGGACGAAAGCGUGGGGAGCGAACAGGA